AAGUCGUAACAAGGUUUCCGUAGGUGAACCUGCGGAAGGAUCAUUACUGAGUCGUCGACAUGAGUUGUUGCUGGUCCUCCAACAGGGGACAGGUGCACGCUCUGUUUACACAUCCACUCACACCUGUGCACCCUCUGUAGUUCUGUGGUCUGGGAGCCCUGCUCCCCUUCUGCGGUUCUACAUCUUUACACACACACUGUAAUAAAGUCUCAUGGAAUGUACACCGCGUUUAACGCAAUACAAUACAACUUUCAGCAACGGAUCUCUUGGCUCUC
rnacentral:misc_RNA from 1 species